AGCGAAUAGAUACCCGGGUAGUCCUAGCCGUAAACGAUGGACACUAGGUGUUGGUGGUAUCAACCCCGCCAGUGCCGAAAGCUAAACGCAUUAAAGUGUCCCGCCUGGGGAGUACGGCCGCAAGGCUAAAAACUCAAAGGAAUUGACGGGGGCCCGCACAAGCAGCGGAGCGUGGGGUUUUAAUUCGACGCAACGCGAAGAACCUUACCAGGGCUUGACAUGACCAGGAUCCCGGCGGAAAACGUCGGUUCCCCGCAAGGGGCCUGGCCACAGGUGUUGCAUGGCUGUCGUCAGCUCGUGUCGUGAG
rnacentral:rRNA from 1 species